AGAAUCAACGCUGGCGGCGUGCCUAACACAUGCAAGUCGAACGAGAAAGUGGAGCAAUCCAUGAGUAAAGUGGCGCACGGGUGAGUAACACGUGACUAACCUACCCUGGAGUGGGGGAUAACUGAGGGAAACCUUAGCUAAUACCGCAUAACACCUACGGGUCAAAGGAGCAAUUCGCUUCAGGAGGGGGUCGCGGCCGAUUAGUUAGUUGGCGGGGUAAUGGCCCACCAAGACAGUGAUCGGUA
rnacentral:rRNA from 1 species